GCCCAACUGUGUGUGUAAUCAGUCGUAUCCCUGGAAAAGGCUUUACAGUGAGGAGGGCUGAGGUGAUUCUGACUCGUUGCCUGACAGGAAUAAAACGUGCCAGGGAUUGCUGAAAGGAUAGAAGCAGUGUCUGAAUGCUGCAGGACACCUGCUUAAUUGAAAGAGAAAUGGAGGGAGCACAGCGGGAAAGCCUGGCGAGGGUAUCUGCCUGAGAGGAGAAACCUGGAGGGGGGUCCUGCUUCAGACACUCAGCUUCUCUCCUAUCGAUGCAAGGAAGGAGCAUUGCUCUCCAUUUAACCCUGCUUCUCUCCACAUCCCCUGGAUCUUGUGCACUGCUCCUGCAAUAGCCUGUCCUCUCAGCAAUACCGUCAGUCCAUCCCAUUCUUCACGGCCAGCAGAUGUUCCUUUCUAUUACAUUUC